CAAAGCUUGAGCUCCUCAGGUGAUGCUGUUUGUGAGCCCGAGGUGGCACAGCUGGCUCUGAUUGUAGCCCUCUGCUUUCCAACCAAUUGGUUGUCUUUACAAAGCCCGGCCUCAGGCAGUUGUAUGGGCAUUCAUUUCCCUUGGUGUUCCCAGGGGGGGGAGUGUCUGGCUUGUUUGGUACCAGCAAGUAAGCCUGACCCUAAGCCUUCAAAGCAAGAAGGAUGGCUGUCGGGAGCAGCAGAGCUGACGUUUCCAUGGAGGUGAGGCUGCAAGAUGAGAUGCAGGGUUUGCCGAGCAAACAGAAGCCUUGAGAUAAGCUCGGUGGAGACCUCUAGCAUGGAAAUGCUGCAAGGAAAGCCGGCGACAGGGAAGGGGGGGGGGGGAGGCCGAUCUCCUCCUCCUCCUCCUCCUCCUCCU